UCCAAAUCUAUUGCAUUUCCUGAGGAAGAUAUACUAUUGGGCUAUUAAGAUUAAGGCUUAUCUUAAAUUCCACAAUAUGUGGGACAAUCACAGAAGAUAUACUAUUGGGCUAUUAAGAUUAAGGCUUAUCUUAAAUUCCACAAUAUGUGGGACAGUGUGAUUGAGACAUGUAGGCAUCCAAAACCUUCAGUGAGGAUCUUACUCUUUUAAAGGCCUUAUCGUGUAUUCUUGCUUCUGUUUUUGACAUAGUUUCACUAGAAUUACAUCAUGUGAAAUACUAAAGAGAGCUUAGUAUCAACUCAAAGAUGAGCUCUGUUGAGAUACUUUCUGUAAAUAGGCUAGAUUUGUAGUAAUUGUGUAUAUAAUUAGGGAUAUGAUUAGGCUAUAAUUAGAGAAUUAAUUUAUUUUUUUACCUAGUAUAUAUAUACCCCAAUUGGUUUGAGGGGAAUUAUCAAGCAUUUUUCUCCCAAAACUUUUGCUUCCCCUUUUUCAUCAUCGUUUUCAUGGUAUUAGAACCAAAAAACUUGGUUCAGCUGUGAGUGGCAAAUUUAUCACCUUGCUUUGGAGACUUUCUGGAAAUCAGUUAAUCUCACUACCUAGCCCACUUUUCUCGCUAGCUUCCGAUCUACGACCCGGUGAAGCGCCGCCACCAUAACCGCCUCCACACACUGCUCAAGCUCAAGCAGUCUGUCUUCGGUACACGCGUCGGCGCGUGAAUCGUUCUCCGGCAACCUUUUCACGCGGAUGACCCUUCGUCCAGCAUCACUCGAUGCCGACGACUCCAGCCCACUAGGUUCGGUCACCUGCCCAACUCGUCUUCACCCGUCGCUUGUGAACGGUAGCUUCGGAUCUAUUGUUCACAGACACAGAUCCUUUUUUUUAGCAGAUUUAGAUUCAGUACCCAUGGCUCAAUCAAAUAUUGCUCAUUCUGGUAAUUCUUUUGCUUAUCUAACUAAGUCUUUACCCGUUAGUUCAUGGAUCCUCGACUCUUAUGCUUUUGAUCAUAUCUCUUGCAAUCUCAAUCUUUUCUCUACUCUUAUUUUACCUUCUACACCAUCUAAAGUCACAUUAGCUAAUAAUUCACAAACUCAAGUUAAAGGAAUCGGUAAUGUAUAUUUCCUUCCUUCUAUCCCCUCGACUAAUAUUUUAUUUACCCCUAAAUGUCCAUACAACCUAAUCUCUCUUAGCAAAUUAACUAAAGAUCUUCACUGUUCAGUCAUCUUUACUGCUGAAUCUGUGGUUGUGCAGGAUCGAAAUACUAGGAAGAUGAUUUGAGCAGGAUACAAGUCACAAUGAUUGUACUAUUUUUCCACUACUAUUUUUCCACUUCUAACUCUAAUUGUUUUUGUAUCUUCCACCUCUGCUGAACUCAUUCAUAGUCAUUGGGGAUAUCCAAGUCUGAACAAAUUACAAAAGUUGGUUCCUAGUCUCUCUUCCUUGCCUUCUUUAAAAUGUGAGUCUUGUCAACUUGGGAAGCAAACUCAAACUUAUUUUCCCAAGUGAGUCAAUAAUAGGGCAACUUUGUUCAUUCAAAUAUUUGGAGUCCAAGUUGGAUUAGUACAACUCUAGAAUUUCAAUAUUUUAUUACCUUUAUUGAUGACUAUUCUCGUUGCACCUGGUUUUUUCUGACGAAGAAUCAAUCUGAGUUGUUCUGUAUUUUUCAGAAAUUUUAUGCUGAAAUCUAUAAUCAAUUUGGUGCUCGCAUUAAGAUAUUACAAAGUGACAAUACAAGAGAAUAUUUAUCUUCCUCAUUCACUCAUUUCUUGUCUACUCAAGGUAUUACUCACCAAACUUCUUGUUCUCAUACCCCACAACAAAAUAGGGUUGCCGAACGAAAAAAUCGGCAUUUGAUUGAAACAGCCUGCACCUUACUCCUACAUCACAAUGUUCCAUUGCGUUUUUGGGGGAAAGUUGUCCUCACUGCCUGUUACUUGAUUAACCGGAUGUCUUCCUCUUUUUUGCAGUAUCAAAGUCCUCAUUUUGUUCUAUUUCGUAACUAGAAUUCCACUCAAUUGUCUUUGCGUAUUUUCGGAUGUAUAUGCUUUGUUCAUGAUUAUACUCUUGGCAAAGAUAAACUCCGAUCCAAAUCAAUCAAAUGUGUCUUUCUUGGCUAUUCAUGGCUUCAAAAAGGUUACAAGUGCUAUGAUCCUACUACUAACAGAUAUUUUGUGUCUAUAAAUAUCACCUUUUUUGAAACCUCUGCUUACUUUUUCUAAUCCAGCACAUAAAACCAAAACCUUUGUUCCUAGAGCUUUGCCUAUACCUCCGACUCUUAUUUCUCCUUUGCCUCAAGUGUGUCCAUCUCCCAAUUCUAUGCCACCUCUUUAGGUCUACACACAUUGGCCUCACCCACCUGCUAAUAACAAUGACAUUUCUCUCUCUAAUGUAGGUACUUCUAAUGACUCACCACCUACUCCAUCAUCACCUACUUCGGUCAUGCCUUCAGCAGCAACAACUACUUCUCCUCUUGCUCUUCGAAAAGGUAUUUGCUCUUCGAAAAAUCCUCAUCCCAUUUAUAAUUUUGUGAGUUACCAUCGUUUGUCUCCUUCCUAUUAUACUUUUGUUUCUGCUAUGUCUGCUAUCCGUAUACCCAAGACAGUUAGAGAAGUAUUGGAUCAUCCUGGUUAAUGUAAUGCAAUGGUCGAGGAGAUUACUGCUCUUCAUAAUAGUGCAACUUGGGAACCGAUAUCUUUACCACCUGGCAAGUUUACUGUUGGUUUUCGAUGGAUUUAGACAGUUAAGGUGGGACCUGAUAGCAAAAUUGCUCGCCUUAAAACUCGCCUUAUAACUAAAGGUUACACAAAUUUUUAGGCUUGAUUACAAUGAUACUUUCUCUCCAGUAGCCAAAAUAGCUUCUGUUCACCUUCUUAUCUCAUUGGCUGCAAUUAAUCACUGGACCCUUCAUCAACUGGACAUUAAAAAUGCCUUUUUUCAUGGCGAGCUCGCCGAAGAAGUUUAUAUGGAACAACCUUUAGGGUUUGUUGCUCAAGGGGAGUCAGGUUUAGUAUGUCGUCUUUGAAUCUCCCUGUAUGGUCUAAAACAGUCUCUAAGAGCAUGAUUUGGAUGAUUCAACACUGUAGUUCAAUAGUUUGGAAUGUCUCAAAGUAAUUCUGAUCAUUCCGUAUUUUUUCGUCAUAAUGGCGAUAGAUGCAUCUACUUUGUAGUCUAUAUUGAUGAUAUUGUCAUUAUAGAAAAAUGAUCAUGAUGGAAUCUCUCAGCUUAAGCAAUAUUUGUUCAGUCAUUUCCAAACUAAAGAUCUAGGAAAAUUGAAGUAUUUCUUGGGGAUUGAAGUGGCACAGUCUAAAAUAGGUAUUGCGAUUUUUCAACAGAAUAUGAUUUGGAUAUAUUGGAAGAAACAGGCAUGUUAGACUGUAGACAUGUGGACACUCCCAUUGAUCCAAAUGUCAAACUUGUUCCUAAGCAGGGGAAGCCACAUUAAUUGGCAAGCUCAAUUAUCUCACUAUCACACGACCGGAUAUUUCCUUUGUUGUAAGUGUGGUUAGUCAAUUUCUUCAAACCUCAUACAGUAGCCACUGGGAUGCAGUCAUUCGCAUUCUUUUAUAUAUCAAAGGAGUUCCAGGACAGGGUCUACUCUACGAUCUACUCUACGAGAACAAGGGUCACUCACAAAUUGUUGGCUAUCCUGAUGCAGACCGGACAAGUUCUCCUUCAGAUAGAUGAUCUACUUCAGGAUAUUGUAUUAUGAUUGGAGGGGAUCUUAUAUCAUGGAAAAGUAAAAAAUAGGGUGUGGUUGCAAAAUCAAGUGCAGAAGCAGAAUAUCGAGCUAUGGCUUUGGCAACAUGCGAACUCAUUUAGUUGAAGCAACUCCUUCAGGAAUUGAAAUAUAGCGAUAUUGGCCAAAUGAAGCUGAUAUGUGAUACUCAAGCUGCUCUCUAUAUUGCAUCAAAUCCAAUUUUUCAUGAGAGGACGAAGUAUAUAAAGGUAGAUUGUCAUUUUAUUAGGCAAAAGAUUUAGUCGGAAUGCAUUUCUACUAGCUUUGUCAACUAGCUAAUGUUUUCACAAAAUGUCUUCCGAGUUCAUGAAUCGAAUAUAUUUUUAACAAGUUUGGAGAAUAUAACAUGCACGCUCCAGCUUGAGGGGGAGAGUUGAGAUACUUUCUGUAAAUAGCCUAGAUUUGUA
rnacentral:lncRNA from 1 species